GAAAGUAAACAAGGGCGCAUGGAGGAUGCCUAGGCUCUCGGAGGCGAAGAAGGACGUGAUAAGCUGCGAAAAGUUACGGUAAGGCGCAAAUAGCCCUAGACCCGUAAAUAUCCGAAUGGGGCAACCCGGCCAGCAAUGGUCAUACCGCCAAGCGGUAAGCCAACGCGGGGAACUGAAACAUCUAAGUACCCGCAGGAAAAGAAAAUAACAAUGAUUCCGCCAGUAGUGGCGAGCGAACGCGGAACAGCCCAAACCACCCGUGUUACGGCACGAGUGGGGUAGAAGGAUCCACGAUACGGCAAGAAAUAAGUUAGCAGAAUACGAUGGAAAUCGUAGCCAAAGACGGUGACAGCCCAGUACGCGAAAACCGACAGAAGCCCAGUGGACACCUGAGUAACCCAGGACACGAGAAAUCCGGGGCGAAUCAGCGGGGCCCAUCCCGUAAGGCUAAAUACUCCCGAGAGACCGAUAGCGAACCAGUACUGUGAAGGAAAGGUGAAAAGAACCUCGAACAGAGGAGUGAAACAGACCCUGAAACCAUGCGCCUACAAGCGGUCGGAGCAUGUUAAAAUGUGACGGCGUGCCUUUUGCAUAAUGAACCUACGAGUUACUCUCGCUGGCAAGGUUAAGCGAUUCAGUCGCGCAGCCGAAGCGAAAGCAAGUCCGAACAAGGCGUACAGUCAGCGGGAGUAGACGCGAAACCAAGUGAUCUACCCUUGGUCAGGUUGAAGGUUGGGUAACACCAACUGGAGGACCGCACCGAUAAGCGUUGAAAAGCUUACGGAUGAACUGAGGGUAGGAGUGAAAGGCCAAUCAAACUUGGAGAUAGCUCGUACUCCCCGAAAUGCAUUUAGGUGCAGCCUCGAAGCAGAGUGAUAGAGGUAGAGCGACUGAUAAGAUGCGAGGGCUUCACCGCCUAUCAAGUCUUGACAAACUCCGAAUACUAUCACUUGGUCUUCGGGAGUGAGGGCAUGGGUGCUAAGGUCCAUGUCCGAAAGAGGAACAACUCAGACCACCAGCUAAGGUCCCGAAAUAAGGGCUAAGUUGAAUAAACGAAGUAAAACUGCAAAGACAGCUAGGAUGUUGGCUUGGAAGCAGCCAUUCAUUUAAAGAGUGCGUAACAGCUCACUAGUCGAGGAGUUUUGCAUGGAUAAUAAUCGGGCAUAAGCCCUUUACCGAAGCUGUGGAUGUCGCAAGACAUGGUAGGGGAGCAUUCCGGCGGCGACGAAGGCCGUCCUCGAGGACGACUGGAGCUUUCGGAAAAGCAAAUGUAGGUAUAAGUAACGAUAAAGGGGGCGUGAACCCCCCUCGCCAUAAGACUAAGGAUUCCUGAUCAACGCUAAUCGGAUCAGGGUAAGUCGGGCCCUAAGGCGCAGCCGAACGGCGUAGCCGAUGGAAGAAACGGUAAAGAUUCCGUUACUGGAUAUAGGAGCGAUGUGGAGACGGAGAAGUGACACACCCGCCUGCCGACGGAAGCGCAGGUUAAAGGAAGUAGGUAAACGCCGGGCAGGCAAAUCCGCCUGGCGUGCCGAAACUGACAGUAUCGAGAGCCCCCGGGCAAUCGAAUAGCGGUGGUAACCAGGCUCCCAAGAAAAUCCGCUAAGCAUAUUCUAUAUCCACCCGUACCCCAAACGGACACACGUAGUCGGGUAGAAUAUACCAAGGCGCUCGAAAGACUCACGGUUAAGGAACUAGGCAAAUUGACCCUGUAACCUCGGGAAAAAGGGUCCCCAGUAAGAUGGGGCGCAGAGAAUAGGUCCAGGCAACUGUUUAACAAAAACACAGGGCUGUGCGAAAUUUCAAGAUGAAGUAUACAGCCUGACACCUGCCCGGUGCCGGAAGGUUAAGAGGAGAGCUAAUCGCACAAGAAGGCUUGAAUUGAAGCCCCGGUAAACGGCGGCCGUAACUAUAACGGUCCUAAGGUAGCGAAAUUCCUUGUCGGGUAAGUUCCGACCUGCACGAAUGGUGUAAUGAUCUGGACACUGUCUCAACCGUGACUUCGGUGAAAUUGUAGUAUCGGUGAAGAUGCCGAUUACCCGCAACGGGACGAAAAGACCCCGUGAACCUUUACUGCAACUUAGCAUUGCGUUUGGGCAUUUGAUGUGUAGGAUAGUCCGGAGGCUACGAGUCGGCGACGCCAGUCGUCGAGGAGCCGCUGUUGAAAUACGGACCUUCGAAUGUUUGAGCGCUAACUCGCAGGAGCGAGGACACUGUUUGGUGGGUAGUUUGACUGGGG
rnacentral:rRNA from 1 species